GACGUAGGGCGCGAGCGUUGUCCGGAUUUAUUGGGCGUAAAGAGCUCGUAGGCGGCUGGUUGCGUCUGCCAUGUAAUCCUGCGGCUUAACUGUGGGGUUGUGGUUGAUACGGGCUGGCUUGAGUGCGGUAGGGGAGACUGGAAUUCCUGGUGUAGCGGUGAAAUGCGCAGAUAUUAGGAGGAACACCGGUGGCGAAGGCGGGUCUCUGGGCCGUUACUGACGCUGAGGAGCGAAAGCGUGGGGAGCGAACAGG
rnacentral:rRNA from 1 species